AAUCAACGCUGGCGGCGUGCCUAACACAUGCAAGUCGCACGAGAAAGGGGAGCAAUCCCUGAGUAAAGUGGCGCACGGGUGAGUAACACGUGAAUCAUCUACCUCCGAGUGGGGAAUAACCUAGAGAAAUCUGGGCUAAUACCGCAUAACACUUACGAGUCAAAGCAGCAAUGCGCUUGGAGAGGAGUUCGCGGCCGAUUAGCUAGUUGGCGGGGUAAGUGGCCCACCAAGGCGAUGAUCGGUAUCCGGCCUGAGAGGGCGCACGGACACACUGGAACUGAAACACGGUCCAGACUCCUACGGGAGGCAGCAGUGGGGAAUUUUGUCGCAAUGGGGGAAACCCGUACGACGCAGCAACGCCGCGUGGAGGAUGAAAUAAUCUUGGUAU
rnacentral:rRNA from 1 species